AGAAAUUGAAGAGUGCAAUUCAAGGGAGAAAAAUAUCAAAAAAUCAAGUUUUGAAUCAUUGAUUGGAAGAGAUAAAAGGUCUGGGUGUAAGAUUAAUCUCUUUUUCUACAUCUUUACUCAAAAUUCGGUGAUGUAUUCAAUAUCAACCUUUUGUUUUUCCUUUUGCACCAUGGGUAGUUAAAUUUCAUAUUAGGGCUAACAAUGUAAUCUACUUGAGACCCUUUUAUUUCUUUUAUAAAAGAGUCUUGUUAUUUUAUCAUACACGUAUUGAUUUUGAUAUGAGUUUAAUCCGUUGAAUUACUUGAUUACUAUUUGAUGAUUUUGUGAAUCUUUUUAUGAAUCGAAAGGUGAGUUUGAGGUUUAGACCACAUAGUAAAAUAUGAUAAAUUAGUAGAACAUGUAGAGAUAUCUAUACUAAUUAUUACGAUCAUUAUAUGAAUUCUUAGAACCAAUAUUUCGUUUAGCUAAGGUUGAUUCGCAUAGAGAUGUGUGAUUGAAUUAGUUAAAUAGAUUCAAUGAGAAUUCAAGAAUGGUAAAUUAAAUACAAUAAAAGAAUUUGAUCGAACACUACAUUAGAUUUUUGAAUCUUGAAUUAAGAUUUAAAUGUGAUCAAUAAAUAAAAUUGUUCUACCUUAAAUCUGUUCAUUAUUUGAAUUCU
rnacentral:lncRNA from 1 species